UCCAGUCUCUGUGGGAAAGGUGCAGACCAUGCGAGACAACCGAAUUUUCUGCAAACAUUGAAGCAUAACAUUGGUAUUAACCUCUGUCAGGCUCCCAAAUACACCCAGGUUGCCUGCCUCUUCCUGGCUAGCAGGGAGUGACUCACGCCGUGACCCAAUUUGGCCUAUUUGGGACCCAGCCAAUUCCCCAGCUGCCUGCUGUUGAAGUAGCUCUGCUCGAGCAGCGGCAGCUGGGAGCCUGGGUAGUUGUUGAGGAAUGCGUGCUGGGCUGCAGUCCCUCUUUCUAGGGCGUGCUGCUUGUGCUGGCUGCUCUGCCCUACCCCGUUUUAGUGGUAUUUGGGGACUCCUGGCUCUCCAGAUGAUCUGGGGUGCUGUAAGCUUGUGAUUUGUCACCCUUCAGCACAGCGCCUCCAGACUAGCUCAGCUGACAGCAUCCAGCCAGUGGAGCCUAUGGAGAGGGAGAGGAUGAGAUCUGUCUCCAAAAAUACACGUGGCCCAAGGUGGGAAGUGUUGCAGAAAGCCUGGUUCAUGGUGGUUGAGCUCAGGGUGUGCAAGCUGUGUCUCUCCAGCAGUUUCUGGGAGCUGGCCUCAGGGAUCCAGGAGCUCAUUGUGCUCCUCCCCAGGGCAGCUGGGCUGGUGCCUGCCACAGCCUUAGGGUGGGCUCCAGCCCCCAUCUGUGCUGGGGGGGCUUCUGUGCCCUCUCUGCCUGCCCAGGGCGGGUUCUCAACUUUUUCUCUGUGGGAGGGUGCUGUCACAAGCCCUGAGAAGCCUUCCUGUUAUCACCCUCUCUGGCUGUAUGUCUGGAGUGAUUUCAGUUGCAAGAGAGAAACAGUUGAGAUCUUGGAGCUUAAUUCAAGAUUUUCAUCCAGAAGUAAUGAGGAAUUUGAAGAUAGAAACUUGUCUGUGAGCAGAGUACCCACGGUUUUGAAGUAAUAAAUCAGUACUUCGAGGAACUAAAAUCUCAAGAGUUCAUUCUUUUUAGUGCUCCAUUUAUGUUCCAGUUCAUAUUUAUACUGCAAACGACAGCAGAGGCACCAGGCACUGUGAUCAAACACCGGGCUGCUGGACUGAGAUGAAAGGUGUCUGCUUCUAAUGUCGUUGGCUAACAACGCGGCUCCUCGUGGUGGAGCAAAGUCCCCUGACCCAGGGGUGAAGCCAGAAAAUAAUUUUUUUUGAAGAAGAAACGUGCAGCCUGCCUCCAGAAUGAGCCUCGAAACAGUGCAAGGCAGGAACAAAGUGGUUGCCUGUGCUCUGGUUAAAGCAAAACAUUUAGCUGGAGAGCCCUGGGAAGCGACUGAGGACAAGCUGUUGAUUCACUCUGCAGCAUCUGCCUGCCAUUCCUGAUGGACUACAAUCACAGCACUGAGAUGUAAUUUUUGGUUCAUCAUUCCCCUCUUAGAGCCAUCAGGCUGAUCAGGUAACCUUUUCAAGUACUUGGGGAUUUUUUAUUUGUUUCUGACUCUGCAAGACGACGGUAAAAUGCGGUCCAGUUCUUUGCUGAAAUAAUGAGGCUGGAUCCAGGCUCCCCGGUACAAGAAAGACAGGGAUCUCCUGGAAAGAGUCCAGCAGAGGGCCACAAAGAUGAUAUGGGGCCUGGAGCAUCUUCCCUAUGAAGAAAGGCUGAGA